UAAGUUUGAUGAAUGUUUUUUUUUUUUUACCUUGUCAGUCUGUCUGUCUGGGUACAAAUUUUGAUCACGUUAUUUCUCCUAAUUCCCUUACUCAUAAUUAUUCCUUUUUUUUCUAGCAAAACAUGAAUCAAUACAAAAAUUAACCAAUUGGUUCAUUCAUUAGUGGUAAUUAAUCAAUUUUGUUUGAUAUCGUAAGGAUGAAAUUAAUCUUACAGAAUUGAUAAAUAUGUCUGUAAGUGUAGAGUUUUUCCCCUCAGAAAAGCUUUCUUUUAUGAAGUAUUUUUUUUUUGUUUUGUUUGUUUAUUUUAACAAAGCUUAUAUCAACUCACUCAGUCUGUCUGUCUUUCUGUCUGCUAAAAUUCGAACAUAUUUUUUUGUUAAUUUUCCAUUCUCGGAUCAAGUUCAAGUUAUUCACUGAACCAGACUAGACAAGAACCAAUAAAAGAAAAAAACAGUUAGUUAAUUAAUUGUUCGUGAUUCAUUAUUUUGUUUUAUAUCAAAAUAAGGGAAAUAACUUCUACUUAAUGAGAGAGGUGGAUGUGUAUAUUACAGUAUAUGGAUUUAAGUCCCUUAUUACGUUUUGACAUGUUGUUUUUUUUCCCA